GUGAAUGAAAGGGUACUUUUUAACUAAAGGCCCGACCCUCCACUUUCUAACCCUGUGCACUAUUUAAUAUGAACUGGGAUCAUUCUUUUAUUAGAAUGUGAAAAGUUCAGUUUACUUUAAAACACUAGUUAAAGAAUGUAAAUAAAAACAAAACUAAAAA
rnacentral:misc_RNA from 1 species